GAGCGAACGCUGGCGGCAGGCCUAACACAUGCAAGUCGGAACGGGACCUUCGGGGUUAGUGGCGGACGGGUGAGUAACACGUGGGAACGUGCCUUUAGGUUCGGAAUAGCUCCUGGAAACGGGUGGUAAUGCCGAAUGUGCCCUUCGGGGGAAAGAUUUAUCGCCUUUAGAGCGGCCCGCGUCUGAUUAGCUUGUUGGUGAGGUAAUGGCUCACCAAGGCGACGAUCAGUAGCUGGUCUGAGAGGAUGACCAGCCACAUUGGGACUGAGACACGGCCCAAACUCCUACGGGAGGCAGCAGUGGGGAAUCUUGCGCAAUGGGCGAAAGCCUGACGCAGCCAUGCCGCGUGGAUGAUGAAGGUCUUAGGAUUGUAAAAUCCUUUCACCGGUGAAGAUAAUGACUGUA
rnacentral:rRNA from 1 species